rnacentral:rRNA from 1 species
GAUGAACGCUGGCGGCGUGCCUAAUACAUGCCAGUCGAGCGAACAGACGAGGAGCUUGCUCCUCUGACGUUAGCGGCGGACGGGUGAGUAACACGUGGAUAACCUACCUAUAAGACUGGGAUAACUUCGGGAAACCGGAGCUAAUACCGGAUAAUAUAUUGAACCGCAUGGUUCAAUAGUGAAAGACGGUUUUGCUGUCUCUUAUAGAUGGAUCCGCGCCGCAUUAGCUAGUUGGUAAGGUAACGGCUUACCAAGGCAACGAUGCGUAGCCGACCUGAGAGGGUGAUCGGCCACACUGGAACUGAGACACGGUCCAGACUCCUACGGGAGGCAGCAGUAGGGAAUCUUCCGCAAUGGGCGAAAGCUUGACGGAGCAACGCCGCGUGAGUGAUGAAGGUCUUCGGAUCGUAAAACUCUGUUAUUAGGGAAGAACAAAUGUGUAAGUAACUAUGCACGUCUUGACGGUACCUAAUCAGAAAGCCACGGCUAACUACGUG